AAAGUUCUGAGACGCUCCGACUCUGAGUCUGAUAGAAGUCAGUGCACUACAGAACUUUGU
rnacentral:pre_miRNA from 1 species